rnacentral:rRNA from 1 species
UGGGGAAUAUUGCACAAUGGAGGGAACUCUGAUGCAGCGACGCCGCGUGAACGAAGAAGGCUUUCGAGUCGUAAAGUUCUUUUAUAUGGGAAGAUAAUGACGGUACCAUAAGAAAAAGCCCCGGCUAACUACGUGCCAGCAGCCGCGGUAAUACGUAGGGGGCUAGCGUUGUCCGGAAUCACUGGGCGUAAAGGGUUCGCAGGCGGAAAUGCAAGUCAGGUGUAAAAGGCAGUAGCUUAACUACUGUAAGCAUUUGAAACUGCAUAUCUUGAAAAGAAUAGAGGUAGGUGGAAUUUUUAGUGUAGCAGUGAAAUGCAUAGAUAUUAAAAAGAAUUCCGGUGGCGAAGACUACUUACUGGGCUAAUUCUGACGCUGAGGAACGAAAGCGGGAGUAGCAAACAGG